ensembl:lncRNA LINC00861 long intergenic non-protein coding RNA 861
AGAUUUUCGCAGGGUUUUGUUGAUUUCCCCUCAACUUUCCACAGGUAUCUUAAAAGCUUUGCUCACUCAUCCCUUCUCUGACUUAGGAUUUGAGCAUCUUUCUGUUAUGCUGUUGCCCCACUCCUAUUGCAAUACUCCCCUUCUUAAGAAAGUUUUUCUAGACUAAUGUCUAGAUUAAACUUCUUUUCUUUGACAAUAAUGAUGCCAUGACUUGGACAAAAUGCCCAUUGCCUCUGGGUCCUGCUUUCUUCACCCAGUGCUGCCUUAUUGGACUCCUUGUGCCUCUCCUUGGCUGGGGAAAUCAGAAUACACAGUGGUAUCCCACUUCUAAGAUGCCUGAUCUGAAGGACAGUAAAACAACUGACCUUUGCCAGCAUGUAAAACACAUGGUUUAACUAGUCCUCCAGGAACAACACUGAGCAAUCCUGACCUGGGACUACUUUACUCGGCCAUCUCCUACUUGAGAUGCUCCUUGUCUCUCUGUUCAAGGACACCUUUUCUGAGCCUUUCUUGAACAAGAGUGGAGGACCGAUAGGGCGAUUAAACUGUCCUUGACACAACUUUAGGUUGGUUUGCCUAAACUACUAGGUUCUCAAUCUAUAUGAACCUCCUCCAGCAUUCUAAUUUGUUUGCUCUGUCUUAGACCCAGAAUCCCACCCCAUGUGCCUAACCAUAGACCAAUCUUCCUGCCUUAACUUCUCUGCUACCAAUUUUGAUGUAGCCCAGUAAGUUUCAGCAUCAUCCCUCACCACCCCACAGUCCCUCACCCUGCCCCCACCCCCACCACACACACACAUACCAGCUCUUAGCAUCAAAUCCCCUUCCAUUUUCCAUAAGCAUCUCUUCCCAGGUCUCUGCAUAUAAAAGCUAUGUUUGCUCACCCCAUGCCUGAGACUUUCCUGGCUUAGAUCUUGAGCAUCUUUCUAUUAUAAGAUUCUCCCUUAGUAAUGAUUUCCUCACUUAACUUCAGAUUUGUACAUUUUUUUUUCAUUGACAGUGCAAAAGAUACCAUUUAGGAUUUGAUUUUCAGAAGGUAAAAUAUAAAACAUUGUCAGGAAAUUCGAAUACUUAAUUAAGUAGGAUAAUGGAUUACUGAGAAAUAGUACUUGGUUAUCUAUUUAAUCAAAUGAUGUAAAAUAAUUUUAGAGUAGAUAUAGGAGGUAACAUAAUUGCAAAGAACUUCAUCUCUUUUAUAUGAAGACUGUUCUCUUAAAUAAUCAAGGACUCGAAAAAGUCAGCACAAAGCAUGGAAAAUUAUUCUGAUGAGAUUCUGAAUGUUUAUCUUCUAAGAAGAUUACUCAGAAGGUAAAGAAAAAUAUUUUACAAGCUCUUACUAAGAGAAUACACUAAUCCAAAAAAAUUAUUUUAAUAGAGAAUAAAACAAAUUCUAGUUUUGCAUCUGCAUAUUUGAUACUAAUGCUUAUAUUAAACAUUUUGUAAACAAACCCAUUAAACUUCAGCCAGCUGUGACUACAAGAAAUAAAAUUUCCUAUCCAUGAACCUUCUACAGCUUUCUCUAUCUAGUUAGGGUUUUGUAGGGUUUUGCCCUACACUUUCCCCUUUCUCAUCCUGGAAUAACUACUCAUUUUACUUCAGAAAAAAAUUACUCUUGUUUUCCUUAACAAAAAAAUAUCCUGCAUACCUUGCACUCAAAAUGUUCCUUUCUGCCACAGUCACUUCUACUAGAGUCUCAUUCAUCUUAUUGACAUAUAUUGAUUAUAACUUUUUUUUUUUUUUGAGACAGUCUCGCUCUAUCACCCAGGCUGAGUGCAGUGGUGUAAUUUUGGCUCACUGCAACCUCCGCCUCCCGGGUUCAAGCAGUUCUCCUGCCUCAGUCUCCUGAGUAGUUGGGAUUACAGGCGUGCGCCACCAUGCCCAGUUACUUUUUUUAUUUUUAGUAGAGGCGGGGUUUCACCAUUUUGGUCAGGCUGGUCUCAAACUCCUGACCUCAUGAUCCGCCCGCCUCGGCCUCCCAAAGUGCUGGGAUUACAGGUGUUAGCCACCGUGCCCGGCCUUGAUUAUUUUUAACUACGGUAACUCCUAUUGCAUAGAGAAACUUUGGAGGUAGUAUAAAAGAAAAGUUACUGGAUAUGUAUUAAAACAGCCAGAUAGAUCUUAUUCAAACUGCUGCAGUAGGAGAGAGAGGUUUCUGUAUGGAACUGAGCUCAACUUCUAAUACAGCAAAGACAGUUGUGGAUUUAUAGCCAAGGAGUAGAGCAAGGUGGUAAGCAGAUGGAAAUUUACUAAGAACUUACCUAGAUAUCAAAGGUAGAGGGAUUCUUGCUAAACUGGCUUAAUAAAAUUAUUUUAAAUAAUAAAACUGUUAAUUAAUAAAACUAUUAAUAAUAAAACUACUUUCUAAAACUAAGAUAUCCAGAGUGGAGAGUGAGAAACUUGAUCAAAUAUCCAGUAGUCUAAUAUCAAGAAUUAGUAAAUUCUUGAUAAAUUCGCUAAGCAGGAAUCUUUACUAAAACUCGGCUGGGCAGGCCAAGGUCAAAGUCUACUUAGGAAGAAUGCUCCAAGGAGCCUAACUCAAGUUUGGUCAAGGGAAGAGUCUUUUUCAGUGGAUAAUUGUGAACUAUUUUCAUACACACUAUUUCGUAGCAGACUAAUAGAUCUUAUGAAUAUACAUCUCAUUAUUUUUGCAGUAAUAAACAUCCCUAUAAUAAAACUCACUGUAGCAAAAAAUAAACAUGCUCAUUAACACACCCAAAUAUAUAGGCUCUCCGUAUUAUAUAAAAAAUAAGCAGCAAAAAGUCUACAAGCAGAAAAUUAUACUUAGUAAUUAAUGCUUCAGUAUUUUAUUAUAGUUAGAUAAUCUAGGUAUCUAAUGAAUGCCCAUUAAUUAACCAAAUUUAGCAUCAGUCUAAAGUUUUAUGUUAUCAAAAGAUCUUGGUCUUGAGCCAGGAUGACACACUAUAAAAUGUAAUUAGUUACUUUUGAAUUAACAUUUGUCAAAACAGUGAUUCAAUUUAACUAAAUGCAAAUUUAUAUUUUUAUAAUUAUAAACAUAUAGUAACUAAAAUGAUAGAUUAUUAAACCAAGAAAGCUGUAUAAGCUGAGGAAGAAUGUGCAUAAGUAGAUUAAAAUGUAUGCUUGUGUAAUACCUAAUACUGAGAACUCAGAAGACAUAACUGUUUUAAUUAAACCAACAAAAUAAAGCUAGUCUCAUUUGCCAAAAUUUACCUAAAUUAUGUAACUUAAAUUCUUAGAAUAUUCAAGCUAGUAUCUAUAAGCAUAUUAAAAGUAGAAAUGCAAUUAUCUUAAUUUCCAGAAAUUUUUGAAUAUUUUAUUUAUAUAAGACUUUAGUUAGUUCUAAGUCAAUCAGAAAAUAGUACCUUUAAAAAUUUUGAUAAUCUAAUUUAGUAAUACCAUCUGGAGGCAGGAAAAUAUUACAUACCCACAGACACAUAAAUAUACAUACAGAUCUAGAGAACUUAUCAUUUUAAUUCUAAAAUCUCAGCCAUAGACCAGGCAUAACACAGAAAUACAUAACUCACUUGUUCCUAUAAAAAGGGCUCUUUUCGUUCCACUGGGUAGAAAUUCUUGAUUGAGUUCAAAAUAGAGAAAAAAAUAGACGAACAAAAAUAACAAACCCAAUUUUCUGGCAUCUUUCUGACGUAACAGAGACACAAUAUCUGCAAACCAUUUAAUUCAUUUACAGAGAUUACCAAGUGACCACAUACACACACACACACACACACAAAUCCAGCACUAGAGAUCAACUGCAUACUCAAUGAAAAUUAAAUUCCUACCAUGCUACCAACAGACAAGAGUCUGGAACAUUGAAUUAGGAAUAGGGCUCACCUUUAGGUCCCUGUAUUGCCAGUCACAAAUGGAGCAUGAAGGCUCCAAGUGUCCUUAUUACCUGGGUGGAGCAGAUGGAGAUCUGAAGGCAUGGUCCCAUUUUGAGUCAUGGCAGCAAUCCUGUCAAAGAAACAGACAAGUUAAAAGAUUGCUUUUAUUUGGGCUAUUGCAAUAGGGAAACCACCCUUAUCUGAAGAUGAUGGGAAUGGCUCAGCCUCUUAGGCAGUUUGGCUUUUAUAGGGAGGGGUAAACAAAUGCAAAUGAUGUGGUUUAACACUGUGGUCAGUUGCAAACUGCAGAUGUCACAGUUUGUUAACUUUCCAAAACAUUUGGAGAUGUUUUUCUCAGUAGUGGUUGUGGUUUUUCUUAGUAAGCUUCGGAGAGCAGAGAUUAUCUCAGCUAAUCAGCUAUGAGACAAAGAACAGGAUGUAGAUUUUUUUGCUUUGUCAGCAGGUUUUGUCAGCAGAUGAAAGGGGACAGUUUGUGGUAGGUCUUGUCACACUUGACCAAAGAUCUUCUAGAAUAGUUUCACACAGAGAUAACAUCAAACAGAAAAACCAGAAACAGGAAGGGGGCUGCGGUCAUUCCCACCCCCACCCCCCACCCCAAGUAAAGCUAAGAGGCUGAGGCAUACCUCCUUGCAGCCUAGCUCACUUACUUGCAUGUGAUGCACUUCCUUCCCAUGCCUGCCUGUCCCAACCCCACCCCACCUUCUUACACAUAGCCUUUCUUGCCCUGUGAAUACCCAUUUCUACACCUCUCUAUUUGCACUGAUGCUGACUCAAUCAGUGUGUCACCUCAUCCCUCCAAGGCUACUGUACUACCUUCCAAAAUGGCUGCCUUCGUUCCACUCUUUUUUCUCACAAUUUAGUUUCCACAGAGAAGCCAGAAUGAACAAAAGUGAAAAUCUGAUUUUGUUACCAACCUGUUCAAAAUUUUUCUGUCUCUCCCUAUUGCCCUUCAAGGAAAGCCUAUGCUACAUAGCACAACAUUCAAACCCUUCAUGUUCCAAGUCACCCCCUUUUUUUGCCAGCCCUUAGCCAACUCUACAUUCCAGCUGUGCAGAAGCUCCAGCUGCUUUCCUACACCCCCUGCAAUUCUCUAUGUCUAGGACUUUGCUUGUGCCUUUCCUUCACCCCCUGCAAUUCUCCAUGUCUAGGAAUUUGCUUGUGCCUUUCCUUCCACCUCCAAUGUCCUCCCUCCAACUGGCUAAGUCCCAAUGUAUGUAUAUAAGAAUUUAGAGGAUACCUCUUCUGGAUUUAUCCCAGGCCCCAACUUCAGCCCCCAGCCUUCCCCAUCACCUUGAAGCUGAGUCUGGCUGAAAUUCCUCUAUUCCCUACCCUUUCCAGUCACAACACCUACCACACUGUUUAGCAAGUUCCUCCUUCUUUUUCUGUCUCAGCAGCUAGACCAGGAGCUCCCUGCAGGUCAAGACCAUGUGUUCUCUGAUGCUUUCUCAUGGCAAGGGGAGACAUAGGGUUGCAGUAGUGAGUGGGCAUCUGUUCUCAGAAGGCAGUGCCUGGAGCACUAUAAGUACUUAAUAAACUCUUGUGAAAUUAAAAA